UUUUUGGAAUAUUUAAGUGAUAUUGAACUCCCAGAACAACAAGAAAAACCACAACCUUUGGGCAACGUCGGAGAAUCGGAAGAAUUCUUCAUCACCGGGCCACACAUACCACAUUGUUACCCAGGUUACCAUGCAAGAGUUGCAAGGGAUACUUCCUACCAUGACACUGAAGUCAUCCACAUUAGGACCGCUAGUAUUGAACACAGAAAGAAGAAUGAAAGCAAGCAGCUCUCCAGGCCUCUUGACAUCUCUGGUGACCCUGAUAGUCUGUUUGCUGACUGCAAAUAUUCUGAUCUAGAGAAAUCAAAUCAAUGCACAAAUUACAGCAAACUCAGCAGUCGUAUAAUAACUGAGUAUACAUUUGAUAAGUAAAAGAACUAAAAAGUAGAACCAGAAGACGUUUUUAUAUACAUAGAGGAAUACUGAUGAUCUGAAAAGUGGAUGUUACUGAAUAUUUGACAUCUGUGAAAAUGCUUCUUAUUUGCUCCGAGCGCUCCUGUUUCUAAUUGCUGCAGUUUUUCUUUUCAACACUGGAGGGCAGCACCUGAUCAAAAACCUAUCUUGUAUGCUUCUG